CUAGGUGCAGAGUGGAGACAAUCAAGUCAUAUAUCACAUAAACAAUUAAAAACUCUCCUUUGGCUGUAAGCUUUUUGAAAUGAUGAAGUGCUGGUACAGAGUGAGCUGUCCUUGAGUUACUUUCAUUGUUUUGAUCCAGGAUACCACGUGACAUUUGGUAGUAAUGUCUCCUAAGCUUCUCUUGAUGUCAGUUUUCCAUACACUCCUUGAUUUUGAUGACUUUCACAGUGUUUUGUACAGGUGAGAUAUUUCAUAGAAUAUUUCUCAAUUGGGAUCUGUUUGCAAAUUUUUUCAGGGUCAAAGUUAUGGGUGUUGGGGCAGAAGACUACAUAGAUAAAGUACAAUUCUCAGUACAUCAUAUCGAGGGUAGACACUAUGCAAAUGAGUUAUCACUGAUGAUGCUAACCUUGAUCAUCUGGUUGAGGUAGUUUUUAUCAGGUUUCUUCACUGUAAAUUUACUCUUUUUCCCUUUUCCAUAUUGUAUUUGUUGGAAGGAAAUCACUAUGUAUAGCCCACAGUUAAGAAGUGAGGAGCUAUGUUUAACCUCCUUCAUAACAGAGUAGCUAGCUAUCUAAAUUAUUUCAGAUUUUUCUGCAGAGGACAUUUGUAUCUUCCUUGCCAUUGAUCAACUCAAAUUAUAUGUUUAUGUCAACAUAGGCACAUGAAUAUUUAUUUUAUGUUGGGUUAAAAUCUAACACUACUUUAUGUAUGUCCUUGCUCAAAUUGUUUCAGCCUUGACUAUUGGAAGCUCUUUUAGUUGGCUUUGUGUCCUUUUGACAUACUAUUAUUGUUGGGGUUUUUUUUGUUUGUUUUAUUUUCUUUUUUGAGUAUGUUAUUACAUUCUGGCACUACAAAAUACCCCAGGUUCAUAUUAUAUAUUUUCUGCCCAGCCCAACAACCAUCCCUUUUCCCACAGAGAACCUAGUUUCUUUUACUAGAGAUUGCGGUUAGAAACCAUAAUCAGCCUGCUUGGUUUGCUUGUUGCUAAUGGACUGUCUUUGCUACUAGAACCUCUCGUGUGCCAGAAUAAAGAAAUAUGCAUGUGUACUAACCAAAGUAUGUACACAUAUCUAUAAAUAUUCCUAUAUGUAAGCAUGUCUAUUCAUAUUAAGUUAAACAUGAGUUUAUAUUUAUGUUUCCAAAUCUAGUCUACUACCACACAAUCUAACUUAAACCCCUUGCUUAUCUGUAACAUUCUACUUUAAUAGUAAGAAUGCCUGGCUUCUACCAUUUGUCAUCAUUUGUUUAAUAAAUCAACUUCAGGAUGCAGGUAUAAAGAUUUUAGAAUUGUUAAUCUAUAUUCUGGUGGAAAACACCUUAUACAAAUUAUCAAGCCAUGGUAAAUUCCUAAAUACCUAUUGCUAAGCUAAAUAAGCCAGUCUCUAAAGUAUAUAUACUGUAUGAUUCAUCUAUUGAAGGACAUCUUUUUUUCUUUCCAGUUCUUGGUGAUUAUGAAUAAAGCUGUGAUGAACAUUUAUGUGCAAGUUUUUGUGUAGACAAAAGUUUUCAAAUAAGUUGGGUAAAAACCAGGACUGUUCUUUCUGUAUUAUGUGAUAAGACUAUGUUUAACUCUGUAAAAAAAUGUACCAAACAUUUUACAAAGUGUUUGUACCAUUUUCAUUCCCGUCAACCAUGAUUGAGAGUUCCUGUUGUUUUGCAUCUUCA
rnacentral:lncRNA from 10 species